GAUGAACGCUGGCGGCGUGCCUAAUACAUGCAAGUCGAGCGAACGGACGAGAAGCUUGCUUCUCUGAUGUUAGCGGCGGACGGGUGAGUAACACGUGGAUAACCUACCUAUAAGACUGGGAUAACUUCGGGAAACCGGAGCUAAUACCGGAUGAUCUUUUGAACCGCAUGGUUCAAAAGUGAAAGACGGUCUUGCUGUCACUUAUCGCUGGUUCCGCGCUGCAUUAGCUAGUUGGUAAGGUAACGGCUUACCAAGGCAACGAUGCAUAGCCGACCUGAGAGGGUGAUCGGCCACACUGGAACUGAGACACGGUCCAGACGCCUACGGGAGGCAGCAGUAGGGAAUCGUCCGCAAUGGGCGAAAGCCUGACGGAGCAACGCCGCGUGAGUGAUGAAGGUCUUCGGAUCGUAAAACUCUGUUAUUAGGGAAGAACAUAUGUGUAAGUAACUGUGCACAUCGUGACGGUACCUAAUCAGAAAGCCACGGCUAACUACGUG
rnacentral:rRNA from 1 species